AAUGGCAAUGAGAUGAUGAUCUGUUAAAAACUCCAGUGGGAUGAGCAGAGGGUAAUUUGACCAAGGCCUCAGAGGUAUCAAAUAGGCUGGUCAUUUUCACAAACUGUUGCCAAAAUAAUCCUAAAAGCCCAGAGCAGUGAGUAUAUGGAAAUGCAUUUAUUGGUGCGGCUCCCAUUGCUUCACCUGGCUUAGCUUCGCAGAGACCCUUAAACAAUCUGAAUCUCUCAGCUUUUAA
rnacentral:lncRNA from 12 species